CUACGGGGCGCAGCAGUGGGGAAUUUUGGACAAUGGGCGAAAGCCUGAUCCAGCCAUUCCGCGUGAGUGAUGAAGGCCUUCGGGUUGUAAAGCUCUUUCGGCCGGGAAGAAAUCGUGCAGGCUAAUAUCCUGCAUGGAUGACGGUACCGGAUCAAGAAGCACCGGCUAACUACGUGCCAGCAGCCGCGGUAAUACGUGGGGUGCGAGCGUUAAUCGGAAUUACUGGGCGUAAAGCGUGCGCAGGCGGAUGUUUAAGCCAGAUGUGAAAUCCCCGGGCUUAACCUGGGAAUGGCAUUUGGAACUGGACAUCUAGAGUGUGUCAGAGGGGGGUGGAAUUCACGUGUAGCAGUGAAAUGCGUAGAGAUGUGGAGGAACACCGAUGGCGAAGGCAGCCCCCUGGGAUAACACUGACGCUCAUGCACGAAAGCGUGGGGAGCAAACAGGAUUAGAUACCCCCGUAGUC
rnacentral:rRNA from 1 species